rnacentral:rRNA from 1 species
UACGGAGGGUGCAAGCGUUAUCCGGAUUCACUGGGUUUAAAGGGUGCGUAGGUGGGUUGGUAAGUCAGUGGUGAAAUCCCCGAGCUUAACUUGGGAACUGCCAUUGAUACUAUCAGUCUUGAAUAUUGUGGAGGUCAGCGGAAUAUGUCAUGUAGCGGUGAAAUGCUUAGAUAUGACAUAGAACACCAAUUGCGAAGGCAGCUGGCUACGCAUAUAUUGACACUGAGGCACGAAAGCGUGGGGAUCAAGCAGG